rnacentral:tRNA from 1 species
GGUUGUAUAGUGUAGUGGUUAUCACUCCGGAUUUUGAUACAUGUAUUCCGGCAACCCCGGUUCGAACCCGGGUACGACCU